rnacentral:rRNA from 1 species
AUACGGAGGGUGCAAGCGUUACCCGGAAUCACUGGGCGUAAAGCGCGCGCAGGCGGGCUGAUAAGUUGGAUGUGAAAGCCUACGGCUCAACCGUAGAACUGCAUCCAAAACUGUCAGUCUAGAGUGUGGGAGAGGAAGAUGGAAUUAGUUGUGUAGGGGUAAAAUCCGUAGAGAUAACUAGGAAUACCAAAAGCGAAGGCAAUCUUCUGGAACACUACUGACGCUGAGGCGCGAAGGCGUGGGGAGCAAACAGGAUUAGAAACCCCGGUAGUCC